rnacentral:rRNA from 1 species
AGGGAAUAUUGCACAAUGGAGGAAACUCUGAUGCAGCGACGCCGCGUGAGUGAUGAAGGCCUUCGGGUCGUAAAGCUCUGUCGCAGGGGAAUAACACAAUGAAUGUACCCUGUAAGAAAGGAUCGGCUAACUUCGUGCCAGCAGCCGCGGUAAGACGAGGGAUCCUAGCGUUGUUCGGAAUUAUUGGGCGUAAAGCGGAUGUAGGUGGCUUUGUAAGUCAGAUGUGAAAGCCCAGGGCUCAACCCUGGAAGUGCAUUUGAUACUGCGAAGCUUGAGUGUCGGAGAGGUUACUAGAAUUGUUGGUGUAGUGGUGAAAUACGUAGAUAUCAACAGGAAUACCGGAGGCGAAGGCGGGUAACUGGCCGAACACUGACACUGAGAUCCGAAAGCGUGGGGAUCAAAC